rnacentral:tRNA from 1 species
GACAGCUCAGUGGUAGAGCGUUUGCCUCGAGUGCAUGAGGUUGUGGGUUCAAUCCAUUGCCG